CUAAUGUGCGCACCGGGAGGAGAGUGACGGCGUAGGAUAAGAUCGGAAUAGAAACAAACAAAACAUAAAA
rnacentral:sRNA from 1 species